rnacentral:rRNA from 1 species
UGGGGAAUUUUGCGCAAUGGGCGAAAGCCUGACGCAGCAACGCCGCGUGGGUGAUGAAGGUCUUCGGCUCGUAAAACCCUGUCGUCGGGGACGAAGGUGGAGUGGUUAAUAGCCUCUUUGCUUGACGGUACCCGGAGAGGAAGCCCCGGCUAACUCUGUGCCAGCAGCCGCGGUAAUACAGAGGGGGCAAGCGUUAUUCGGAAUUAUUGGGCGUAAAGGGCGCGUAGGCGGCUUUUUAAGAGAGAUGUGUAAUCCCUGAGCUCACCUUGGGAACUGCAUCUCAUACUUGGAGGCUAGAGUACUGGCAAGGGUGGUAGAAUUCCACGUGUAGCGGUGAAAUGCGUGGAGAUGUGGAGGAAUACCAGUGGCGAAGGCGGCCACCUGGACAGUAACUGACGCUGAGGCGCGAAAGUGUGGGUAGCAAACAGG